UGCGGUUAUACAAAAAUUAAAUUAAUUUUUUUUAGGAUUUAAUAAAUAAAAGUUAAAUUAAUAAUUUAAAUUUUAAAUUAUAAGGUGAAAUUUUAAUUUAAUUAAAAUUUAUUUAUUUUUAUGACAUUAAUAAAUUUUAUAAAAAACUAGGAUUAGAUACCCUAUUAUAAAAAUUUAAAUUUAAUAAUCUUAAAAUAGUAUAUAAUUUUUUAUAGAAACUUAAAUAAUUUGGCGGUAUUUUAGUUCAUUUAGAGGAAUCUGUCUAAUAAUUGAUAAUCCACGAUUAAAUUUACUUAAUUUUUAAUUUUGUAUAUCGUUGUUAAAAAAAUAUUUUUAAAUAAUUAUAAUAUUUUAAAAUUUAAAUAAAAAAUUAAAUCAGAUCAAGAUGCAGAUUAUAAUUAAGAAUAUGAUGGAUUACAAUAAAAUUUAUUUUUUGGAUAUUAAUUUGAAAUAAAUUAAUUGAAAUUGGAUUUAAAUGUAAUUUUAUUAAUUUUAAUAAAAUGAUUUUAAAUUAAAAUAUGUACAUAUUGCCCGUCGCUUUCAUUUAUAAAUUGAAAUAAGUCGUAACAAAGUAGAAGUACUGGAAAGUGUUUCUAGAAAGAU
rnacentral:rRNA from 1 species